UCCUUGCCCUCCUCUUCAAACGGGAUUUCGUCUCUAUGGAUUACAGUCUUGAUUUUUGGUUAAAAUUGGAAGAUUGCUCUUUAGCUUCUACUCUCUCCUGAAAGCUCACUAAAGUACAGUAAAAAGUGUUAUUAAAAAAGACUUAAAGGCUGGGCGCGGUGGCUUACAUCUGUAAUCCUGGCACUUUGGGAGGCUGAGGCAGGCGGAUGCCUUGAGCCCAGGAGUUUGGAACUAGCCUAGGCAACAUGACGAAACCCUGCCUCUACAAAAAAAUACAAAAAAUGAGUUGGGUGUGGUAUUGCAAGUGGGAAGAUCACCUGAGCCGGGAGAGGUGGAGGCUGCUGUCAGUCAAGAUCAUGCCACUGCUCUCCAGCCUGGAUGACAGAGAAAAACCCUGUCUCAAAAAAAAAAAAAGUACUUAAACACUAAAGAAAAUUGGAAAAGAGACAACAGCCCACAAAGCUGCUUAAAUUGGAAAGCAAAUGGGAAAACGAUGACGAAAUUAGCAGAUGGGAGAAAGCUUAGUCCUAAAAGGGAAGUGAGGUAAGCUGAUAAGCAAACUCAUCUAAGCUGCGGAAAGACCCAAAGACAAGGAACUGGCGGCACCAUGUGCCUUUGGACACGGGGACGUGAGAGUAAAACAUGGACGCUGGUUGAAAAUCUGUUGAAAACGCAGUGGAACUUCAGGAAUUUCUUCCCCUGCCACAGGUUGCUGGCAGAGGUGGUUGGGGCUAUGUGCCUGGAGUGAAGAUUCUGCCCAUUGGUCAAGAGACCUCCCUCUCAGAUGCUGGCUCUGCCCCUGCCUUUGGGGGUCGACCCUUGUACUCGCAGGACCUUAGGUGACUCU
rnacentral:antisense_RNA from 1 species